AUGGACCUUGGGCGCCUAAACUAUGGGGUCAUCACACUCAUCCCCAAAGUUCCGGGCGCUUCUGACAUCCGCCAGUUUUGGCCUAUCACUGUGAUCGAUGUGAUAUUCCGGAUCUUGGCCAAGGGGUACGCCAAUAGGGUGACCCUUCUAGCUGACACCGUUACCCACCCCAACCAGUCCGCCUUCAUUCAAGGGUGGUUCAUCCUGGAUGGGGUGUUAGUCUUCCACGAGAUUCUUCACGAAGUCCGGUCCAAGCACCAUCGAGCGGUCUUCCUAAAGCUCGACUUCCAUAAAGCCUAUGAUACGGUUCACUGGCCCUUCCUUCGGGAAGUCUUGCUCCGCAAGGGCUUCGAUGACCGGUGGGUGACCAGAGUUAUAUAUGCAACUCGUCUCCUGUGGUCGAACUGCCGUGAACAUCAACGGUGA
rnacentral:rRNA from 1 species